rnacentral:RNase_P_RNA from 1 species
AGAGUCGGUUAGACGGUUGCGAGACCUUGUGUCUUGAGGAAAGUCCGAGCCCCACAGGGCAGAAUAGCGGCUAACCGCCGCCGAGGGUGACCUUAGGGAAAGUGCAACAGAGAUAUACCGCCUUGUUUUCAAGGUAAGGGUGGAAAGGCGAGGUAAGAGCUCACCUAUCACACGGGAACGUAGUGAUACUGUAAACCCUAUUCGGAGCAACGCUAAGUGUGGCUAUACAUUUGCCCGAUGUGCCACGAAAAGCGGCUUGAGUGUUGGAGCAAUCCUUCACCUAGAUAGAUAACCGUCCGCGACAGAACUCGGCUUACCGACCGACUCUAUAA